GACGGAGGGUGCAAGCGUUGCUCGGAAUUACUAGGCGUAAAGGGUGCGUAGGCGGCUUCUUAAGUCUGACGUGAAAGCCCAGGGCUCAGCCCUGGAAGUGCGUUAGAAACUGAGAGGCUUGAGUGCCGGAGGGGAGAGUGGAAUUCCCGGUGUAGCGGUGAAAUGCGUAGAUAUCGGGAAGAAUACCGGUGGCGAAAGCGACUCUCUGGACGGCAACUGACGCUGAGGCACGAAAGCGUGGGGAGCAAACAGGAUUAGAAACCCUAGUAGUCC
rnacentral:rRNA from 1 species